GACGAACGCUGGCGGCGUGCUUAACACAUGCAAGUCGAGCGGUAAGGCCCUUUCGGGGGUACACGAGCGGCGAACGGGUGAGUAACACGUGGGUGACCUGCCCUCAGCUCUGGGAUAAGCCUGGGAAACCGGGUCUAAUACCGGAUAUGACUCCAUGACGCAUGUUGUGGGGUGGAAAGCCUUGUGCGGCUGAGGAUGGGCCCGCGGCCUAUCAGCUUGUUGGUGGGGUGAUGGCCUACCAAGGCGACGACGGGUAGCCGGCCUGAGGGGCGACCGGCCACACUGGGACUGAGACACGGCCCAGACUCCUACGGGAGGCAGCAGUGGGGAAUCUUGCGCAAUGGGCGAAAGCCUGACGCAGCGACGCCGCGUGUGUGAAGAAGGCCUGCGGGUUGUAAAGCACUUUCAGUAGGGAAGAAAAG
rnacentral:rRNA from 1 species